CAAUAGCGGAUAUUAAAGUUGUUGCGGUUAAAAAGCUCGUAGUUGGAUCUCGGCAGGCAGGGGGUGGUUCGCUCUUAGCGCUACUGCCCCAUUUGCCUGUGUGAUUGGCGGAGGUUUCGGGGUGCUCUUCGUUGAGUGACCCGGGGCGCCGUCAGGUUUACUUUGAAAAAAUUAGAGUGCUCAAAGCAGGCUUUUCACGCUUGAAUAUUCGUGCAUGGAAUAAUGGAAUAGGAACUCGUUUCUAUUUUGUUGGUUUUCGGAAAUCGAGUUAAUGAUUAAUAGGGACAAUUGGGGGCAUUAGUAUUCAGACGACAGAGGUGAAAUUCUUGGACCGUCUGAAGACUAACUACUGCGAAAGCAUUUGCCAAGAGUGUUUUCAUUAA
rnacentral:rRNA from 1 species